UAGUGUAGCGGUGAAAUGCGUAGAGAUUAGGAAGAACACCAGUGGCGAAGGCGACUUACUGGACUGUAACUGACACUGAGGCAUGAAAGCGUGGGGAGCAAACAGGAUUAGAUACCCUGGUAGUCCACGCCGUAAACGAUGGGUACUAGGUGUAGGGGGUAUCGACUCCCUCUGUGCCGCAGUUAACACAAUAAGUACCCCGCCUGGGGAGUACGGUCGCAAGAUUAAAACUCAAAGGAAUUGACGGGGACCCGCACAAGCAGCGGAGCAUGUGGUUUAAUUCGAAGCAACGCGAAGAACCUUACCUAGACUUGACAUCUCCUGAAUAACCUAGAGAUAGGCGAAGCCCUUCGGGGCAGGAUGACAGGUGGUGCAUGGUUGUCGUCAGCUCGUGUCGUGAGAUGUUGGGUUAAGUCCCGCAACGAGCGCAACCCUUAUCACUAGUUGCUACCAUUUAGUUGAGCACUCUAAUGAGACUGCCCGGGUUAACCGGGAGGAAGGUGGGGAUGACGUCAAAUCAUCAUGCCCCUUAUGUCUAGGGCUACACACGUGCUACAAUGGGCAGUACAGUGAGAUGCAAACUCGUGAGAGUGAGCCAAACUAUAAAACUGUUCCCAGUUCGGAUUGUAGGCUGCAACUCGCCUACAUGAAGCCGGAGUUGCUAGUAAUCGCGAAUCAGCAUGUCGCGGUGAAUACGUUCCCGGGUCUUGUACACACCGCCCGUCACACCAUGAGAGUUAGCAAUACCCGAAGUCCGUGAGGUAACCGCACGGAGCCAGCGGCCGAAGGUAGGGUUAGCGAUUGGGGUGAAGUCGUAACAAGGUAACC
rnacentral:rRNA from 1 species